rnacentral:rRNA from 1 species
ACUCCUACGGGAGGCAGCAGUGGGAAUAUUGCAACAAUGGGCGCAAGCCUGAUGCAGCCAUGCCGCGUGUAUGAAGAAGGCCUUCGGGUUGUAAAGUACUUUCAGCAGUGAGGAAGGUGGGUAUGUUAAUAGCAUACUCAUUUGACGUUAGCUGCAGAAGAAGCACCGGCUAACUCCGUGCCAGCAGCCGCGGUAAUACGGAGGGUGCGAGCGUUAAUCGGAAUUACUGGGCGUAAAGCGCAUGCAGGUGGUUUGUUAAGUCAGAUGUGAAAGCCCGGGGCUCAAGCCUCGGAAUUGCAUUUGAAACUGGCAAACUAGAGUACUGUAGAGGGGGUGAGAAUUG